rnacentral:miRNA from 1 species
UGUUUGCAGCGAUGAUGGUGUUAAUGAUGGUGGUGAUGGUCACGGUGCAGAUGAUGAUAGUGACCAUCACGACCACCACAUUACCACCAUCAUGAUCA